UAUGCAAUUUUAUGCAAGCUCACUAGGUGGUUCUUUUACCAAUGCUUCCUUUAGAGAUAUCAGGGAGGAUGGGCUGUGGAAAAUAAUGAGUCUACUGGAGCAAUAUGGACAUUUCAUGGCAGCUUUCUUAAGAGCAUAUAAGGUACUUGUGGUAAAUUUUCACAAUAACGGUCCCAGAUGAAUUCCUCCUCUGGUAUCCAUGCCCUCAUGUGGUUCCCUUUCACAUGAUAGCCAUGUGACUUGUGGUGGCCAAUGCGAUGUCAGCAAUCAUGAUGUAAUCAGAAGCUUGUUCCAGGCUUGUGCUUGCUCUCAUGGAACACAGCCUUCCCAGAUGUCCCUGCUGAGCACAAUCCACAACCAAGCCACCAGCUAAGUGAAGCUGCGUAAGUGAGCCCAAGUGAAACUAGUCAAAGAACCACCUGGCCAACCCACAGAAUUGUGGCACUUAAACUGUUGUUUUCAAUUAAUGAGUUCUGUGGCAAUAGAUAACCAAUAAAACAACUUAUUCAUGCCUGUUUCCCCAGAACCUACUAUAUUGCCUGGCAUAUUUCUGCCCUCAAGGCAUUCUUAUGGACAUAAGCUUUAUCUUCCCAACAACAACCCUGUCAGCAGAAUUCUUCUAGAUUAAAUGUGGGCCUGCUGUGACUUCACCUCCAGCCCUGUUUGGGACUCCACCAUCAAAGCAUCUCUGAACAGCUUGCUUUCUGCAAUAGUUGAAGAACGAGUAGCGUGUGGAUGGCUGAGAGGUGGAUAAGCGGGGGAUCGAAUCAAGCCCAGAUGUCAGUCAGUCUCCCCCCGACCCAAGCUGAGGGCUGGGACAGGACUCAGGGGAAGAGUCUCCAGUGGGGGGGUGGUUCCCAGGAGCUGAACAUAAACAGCCCCGGUGCUGACUGCCCACCAGGCAUGGCUGCACUUGUGUCUGCCCCACUGCAGGAGUGUCUGCAGAGGCAGCUGGAGCCCAAAGUGGUCUUUUGUCUCCCCUCUCUCUGAAGUCAUCCCAGGACACAGGUGUGCAUCCCCCCCAGCCAGCCGACAGAGAAGAUGAAUCAGCUUCCCUGAAAGACGUGCCCCAGAGCAGUCUGUCAGCUGAAACUUGUCUGAAGGAGCACGCUUCCCUCCUGACCACAGCUAAUGAAAAUGUGUGGCUUGCCCGGGGAAGAAUCUAUGCUAUUCUUUAAAGGAACAAUGCAAACCACAGAUGUGCAGCAUCUGGCAUAUGAUAGGGAUUUCCCUGAAUGAGAACAGUAACUGGACCAGCCAGCUUGUGAGAUGCCUUUGGGUCCAGGCAUGUAUUUUCCUCCUUUUGGCUCUGGAUUUGGGUUCUCAGAAGUUCAGGUGAAGCCCAAGUCACUAUCACUUCAUGGUUUUCAUUAUAUACGCCCCCCUCCUCAUUUAUCUUCUAUGGUCUUGAUGAAUAUGCUUGAGAUGCCCCCAAACCUAUAUCCCUGCCUCUAAGUCUUUGCUCACGUCAUUCUCCAUUUCUGUACAGCCUCCCCUUUUUUUAUGACCAUCUAAUUUGUCAGGACUCUUUCCAUGGAGGUUAAGUGAAGCCCAAUCCGACUUGCCUGAAGCAAAAAACUACAUUUAUUGAAUAACGUAACUUAAAAUCCAGGACCACUUGACUUCAAAGAUAGGUACACCUGGAUCUAGGCGUUCAAAUGAGUUUUCCAGGACCUGGUCUUAGUCUAUUUCUUCAGGUCUAGACUCUGUCUUUUACAUUGGCCCGAGUUUCAGGUAGGCGCUGAAUGGGCUCCAUUCUUGCAUGUUACCAUGUUAACUCCCGCGUGGAAAAAGUGAUCCUGGGGAUAGGCCUGAUUGGACCACUUGGGACACAUUCAUGUUUGCCUAUGAACUAAUCACUGUAAUCGGGGCGAUGGGAUUCCUGUUAUUGUCCAGGCCUGUGUCCCUUGCUCAGCCCUAAGGCUAGGGAGUUUGGUCUUCACCCAGAGGAAAUCAGGAUCCUAUCAUAAGAAUAAGGUUGAAUGGAUGUAGGACAAGUAACAUCAGUAGACACACAACCCAUAGCUUGCUUUUCAAGCUCAAGUUCAUCCCAGGCCACAUUCCUCUCUCUUGCCCCUGCGACACUUUUACAGUUGAAUAUGGGAUUGUAUAUGCCUCCCAGCUUCUCCCGCUGGGACUAGAGGGCAUUCCUGGUAAUAGAAGACAUGGGGUGGGGCGUGGGUAGUACAUGGGGGGCAGGAAUCACAUUGUGUUUCCUUUCCUUGUUUGAAACCCUGUGAAAUCAAAUGGAGACGAGGCAGCUUUGAAUCAGGGGGAAAUAGUUACAGCAGUUAUUAGUUUGGAGCAGGGAAGAGGGGCGCCUGGGUGGUGCAGUCGGCUAAGCGUCCGACUUCAGCCAGGUCACGAUCUCGCGGUCCGUGAGUUCGAGCCCCGCGUCGGGCUCUGGGCUGAUGGCUCAGAGCCUGGAGCCUGUUUCCGAUUCUGUGUCUCCCUCUCUCUCUGCCCCUCCCCCGUUCAUGCUCUGUCUCUCUCUGUCCCAAAAAUAAAUAAACGUUGGAGCAGGGAAGAAACGGGCCUUAGUGACAAGGACUGGGGCCAGUUCUACCUGUAUGUAUGAGUGCUUCUCCAUCUCAGGCCCCCCAGUGGCUGCCUCCAGGUUCAGAUGGGAUGCCAAGAUUUGCUGUGAUUUGGGGCCAGCCGAACACUUGUUGAGUCUGUGUGAAUCAUUGAGCUUUUGCCGGUCAGUGCCGUAUGCCUUUUAUUUUUCUUAUACCACCCUGUGUAUCUAGUACUUUGGUGAGCACCUAACAGUUACCCGACGGGUUUUAUUGUGAAAUUGCGAUGUAGGUGCCAGCGCUCAAGCCUGGAAAUCAAAAGGUGUGGGUUGUAAUCAAGUCUCUUGACUUUUGCCGAGCUAAGUAGCCAUACCAAGAGAGCACAGAGCAGGAUAACAGCUAUUUUUGUCUAGUGCUUCUGGUUCCCAAUACUUACAUUGCUGGCUCACUUACAAUGACCCUGUGAGAUAAUCCAAAUGCUAUGGGGUAAGCUUCAAGGUUAAGUCUAAGGCAAAAACUGGGUGUAAUCAAAAUUUCCCUGGAAACUCCUAUAAAUCAUCCAUAAAGUACA